UGUUUUGUUCAUGAUUCCUCUUUUUCUUUCCAUUAAAAUAAGACUAUCAAAUAAAAAGACAAAUGACUAAUCCACCAUAAUACAACAUUCAAAAUUGCAGUACAAUUGAAUCUCAACAACAACUAACCAUAGCACCAACAGUUUUAACCACUAGCUGCAAAUCCUUUUCCACUAUCCAAAAUUUCAAUUACACAACAAAAAGAACACAGAAGAAAAACGAUAGGAAACAUCAGAUUCACAUGCAUAGUGUCACUGGCCACUAUCCUCUUCUCGAUGCUAUGAAUCAGACGGUGCAGCCAUAGAAUACGAAGAAGAAGCAAAGCAUUGAAACAAGAGCCACAGAUUCCAACGCCGUCACGAUUCCCCAUAAAAACUCAUCAACGAUAGAAUUAGAGAUGCUCGUCAGCUCCGACCACCGCGUCACCGGCAUCUUCGAUCUUGCCCAACAGAAUAACGACACCAUCGAUGACAACGCUGUUUCCGAUCAAAAUCGCUUUUGCUUUCGUUUCUAUUGUGAUUGUUUGAUAAUGGUGAUGGGACUCACUAUUUAUUUGAAGAUUUUUAUUUUAUUUUUUCCUUCUAUCUACUAUCUACCCAAUAUUAUAAAAUUGACCAAACUCCCAAUUUUAACCUUCUGCAAAAUAAAUUUUACCCUUGCAAAAGGUUAGUGAAGUAAUUAACAAAUUGAAUAUUUGCACUUGCCAUGUGUUGUCUAUUCAUUCGUCUACUUUUACAAUUGUGUACUUGCUUUAACAUUUUCCUCCUCACCUUUCCUCUCUCUUCACGAUUCAAAUUAUCAUUCUCUCUUCUCUCUUCUCAAACCCUAAAAGUGACUGAACAAGCAAAACCUAGAACACGCCUCCCCGCCGUCCAAACAGUUGAAGCACGGGAGAUGAAUCAGUUUUAUCCACCAAAGCGGAAAAUCUUCAAAUCUUCGUUCUCUUCGAUCUCAGUUUUUCGUAAAUCACCCUGCAUGUAAAUCCAGUGGUGGUAGAGCUGAUGAAGAGAAGGUUUUGAAAGUUUUGUGGGAGAAGGACGGUGAAGAUUAUUCUCUAUCCUUUUUGUUCAAUUGUAGUAUCUGCUGGGCUUCUCAGGAUUUUUGGCCGCAAUAUUGCAGAGCUUCCCAUGGUAGCUACAAGCAGAGAGUAUCAAGGAAAAGGUUAUUUUCAACUGCUAUUUUCUUGCAUAUAGAGGUUGUUGUCUUCUCUAAAUGUAGAAAAGCUGGUUCUCCCUGCUGCAGCGGAUGCAGAGUCAAUUUAGACUAAGAAAUUUUGCUUUCACAAGAUGAGUGAAGAUCAGGAACUUAGGACUAUAACCCUCACUACAAUCACCAGUAUCGACAUGCCUGAGAUUGCAGUACACAAAUUCAAAUUCAAGCCCUUUGCAGAAUUCUUAUAUUAUUGGUGUCCUGCAACAAGUCGUUAGGACCCAAGUUAUAGGUGUUGGGAAAAAACUGUGCGUCAACCUAAUUUUGGCCAAUGAAUGGUAUGUCACGUUACAAUUUCACACCUGACAGCACUAUACACUUCAUUGCUUCAUACUGUUUUGUUGUAUUUUUUGUUUUGUUAGUGGAGCUGAGAUUGAUCUCACCCUUUGGGAGAUGUAUGCAGAAAAGACUUAUAGCUUUUACUAAAGAAAACGGUCUACCGGUUGUCAUACUAACUCAUGCUUGGUAUCGCCAAAGUUCAACCACAUGGAAGCUUAAUCUUUCAAAUGCUUGGAACGGUUCCAAACUACUACUCAAGUAGUUGAUUUCAAGGCUAGGUCUUUUCAGAUUUGAUGCCGAGAACCCAAAUCCCGGCGCUUCACAAUCACUGUUCCUACAUUCUGGUUCUCAAGCUACUUUUAAAGAACACCGCUAAAACACUGAACUCUGAUGAAGCAACAGACCUUAAGCUACCAUUGAAAGAAAGGUUCUUUCUUCAACCAUUGCCACCUACAGAAGCAGCAACAAAAAGUGCAUUUGAAGUGCAACAUUGCAUUCAUUUGAAGUGUGAUGGUCUAGAAAAAUCAAUUUAAUACUUUUGCUGGAAACUGUUCUGCCGGGGGGGUCUUGUAGUACUUAAGGUUUCGGAUAACAUUCUAUCUGUUAUGCUAUUUUUUUCUUCAUUUUCAAUUUAAAGCAUCAAGUGUUUCUUUCAUUCUAGGGUGUAUAAUUUAAUUGACCUAAAGUUUUAUUAGUUUUAUUAUUUAAUGCAAUGAAAUACUUUUUAUCUCACGUGAGUAUUUUUAUUCACAUGUGAAUAUUUUUUAUUCACUAAGAUGGACUAAUGUAAUAGUAUAGUGGAAUUUGCAUUUCCAUCAUGUGUUAUUUCCAACAAGCUACCAUUCUUUCUGUUGUGUUAUUUCAAAACCUCAUUUGCAUAUGAUCCUUCCAAUAAUGCUGCCACAACAUACAUAUACACAGUCCAAGACUUAAUCACUCACCUUUAAAUUGUAAGUAGCAAUAUUUCAAAUUUUAAGGAUACAACAAGGAUCUAUGUGUUUUAACAUUUAAUUUAAUAAAAUGUUCAAUCUCACAAGUUAGUAUCACCAUAAUAAAAUAUAUCUUACAAAAUAAAGUGUCAUAAACAUAGAGUUUAUAUUUCA